AUUGAACGCUGGCGGCAUGCUUUACACAUGCAAGUCGAACGGUAACAGGGUGCUUGCACCGCUGACGAGUGGCGAACGGGUGAGUAAUGCGUCGGAACGUGCCGAGUAGUGGGGGAUAACGCAGCGAAAGUUGUGCUAAUACCGCAUACGUACUGAGGUAGAAAGUGGGGGACCUUCGGGCCUCACGCUAUUCGAGCGGCCGGCGUCUGAUUAGCUAGUAGGUGAGGUAAAGGCUCACCUAGGCGACGAUCAGUAGCGGGUCUGAGAGGAUGAUCGGCCAAACGGGGACUGAGACACGGCCCAGACUCCUACGGGAGGCAGCAGUGGGGAAUUUUGGACAAUGGGCGAAAGCCUGAUCCAGCCAUGCCGCGUGUCUGAAGAAGGCCUUCGGGUUGUAAAGGACUUUUGUCAGGGAGGAAAUCCCUAGUGCUAAUAACACUGGGGGAUGACAGUACCUGAAGAAUAAGCACCGGCUAACUACGUGCCAGCCGCCGCCGUAA
rnacentral:rRNA from 1 species